rnacentral:sRNA from 2 species
GAUCAUUAGCGAGUUCACAGUGACUCCCAACCCGUGCAAACCUUACCGCAUACUUUCCGAGAGAGAGAGCGCCUGUUGCCUCCUGUCGGGCGGCGUGCCCUCCCCUCCUUCCGACUACGGAGGGGGUGGGACGGGCACCCGCCCGCCGGGGGCGCGGCGUGGCCCGCUCCCUCUCGUCUUGAACCUUCUUUACAGUAUACCUAUAAUGUCUGAGUAAAACCACAGAAUCGUUAAAACUUUCAACAACGGAUCUCUUGGUUCUGGCAUCGAUGAAGAACGCAGCGAACUGCGAUAAGUAAUGCGAAUUGCAGAAUUCAGCGAGCCAUCGAAUCUUUGAACGCACAUUGCGCCCGCCAGCAUUCUGGCGGGCAUGCCUGUCCGAGCGUCAUUUCCUCCCUCACGCAGCACGCCUGCGUGGUGUUGGGGCGUUCUGCGGCCCGGCUUGCGCCUAGCGUAUGCCGCCGCAGCCCCCGAAAGCCAGUGGCGGGCCGGCAGCGGGCUCCGAGCGCAGUAAGCAGCAGUGCCCUCGCUUUGGACGCCCCCGCCUGCGCCCUGCCCUUAUUUUGGCAGACGUAAGUCUGCCUCCUUCUCAAGGUUGACCUCGGAUCAGGUAG